rnacentral:rRNA from 1 species
CGCGUAGGCGGCGCGGUAAGUCUCUUGUGAAACCUCUGGGCUUAACUCAGAGCCUGCAGGAGAAACUGCCGUGCUGGAGUGUGGGAGAGGCGAGUGGAAUUCCUGGUGUAGCGGUGAAAUGCGUAGAUAUCGGGAGGAACACCAGUGGCGAAGGCGGCUCGCUGGACCACAACUGACGCUGAGGCGCGAAAGCUAGGGGAGCAAACAGGAUUAGAUACCCUGGUAGUCCUAGCCUUAAACGAUGAAUGCUUGGUGUGAUCGGUAUCCAAUCCGAUCGUGCCGCAGUUAACGCGAUAAGCAUUCCGCCUGGGGAGUACGGUCGCAAGGCUGAA